rnacentral:lncRNA from 1 species
CCUUUAACAGGGAGUUAUUUUUGAUCUCACAGGAGCAGCAGUGUCUGGUUUCAGAGUUUGCCAUUCUGCACUCCUUAUGUAAGAUUGGAAACAUCAGCACCAAGGCAGUCCAGUGGAAAGCUCUGUUUUGCCUCAGUUUGUUUCAGUCAGCGAGACCUAAGUUCAUAUCUCCUCCCACAGUCUCAGGUGACCUCAGGAGACUGCUCAGGGGGAAUCCAGGGACGAGAAAUUCAAUGGUUGCAGUUUUAUAGUCUUUAUCAGACCAUGAAGGCUGUAAUCAAAAGAUAAGAGCUAUCAUCUGUCACCUCAAUCAAGUUUCAAGAGAAAAUCAUUGCAAGAGAGCCUCUGGUAAGUCUGUGAAUUAAUUCAGAUUUGGGGAAUGUUACAUAAUUUGUGUUAACACCCGCAAGCUCCAG